CAGCAGCCGCGGUAAUACGUAUGUCACAAGCGUUAUCCGGAUUUAUUGGGCGUAAAGCGCGUCUAGGUGUUAUGUAAGUCUGAUGUGAAAAUGCAGGGCUCAACUCUGUAUUGCGUUGGAAACUGUGUAACUAGAGUACUGGAGAGGUAAGCGGAACUACAAGUGUAGAGGUGAAAUUCGUAGAUAUUUGUAGGAAUGCCGAUGGGGAAGCCAGCUUACUGGACAGAUACUGACGCUGAAGCGCGAAAGCGUGGGUAGCAAACAGGAUUAGAUACCCCCGUAGUCCCUGUCUCUUAUACAC
rnacentral:rRNA from 1 species